UACGAAGGGGGCUAGCGUUGCUCGGAAUCACUGGGCGUAAAGCGCACGUAGGCGGAUUGUUAAGUCAGGGGUGAAAUCCUGGAGCUCAACUCCAGAACCGCCUUUGAUACUGGCGAUCUCGAGUCCGGGAGAGGUGAGUGGAACUGCGAGUGUAGAGGUGAAAUUCGUAGAUAUUCGCAAGAACACCAGUGGCGAAGGCGGCUCACUGGCCCGGUACUGACGCUGAGGUGCGAAAGCGUGGGGAGCAAACAGG
rnacentral:rRNA from 1 species